rnacentral:rRNA from 1 species
AACUGCUGUGGUAAGGGAAAAAUGCUAUGUAGAGUGGAAAGCUACAUAGAGGGAUGGUACCUAACUAGAAAGCCCCGGCUAACUACGUGCCAGCAGCCGCGGUAAUACGUAGGGGGCGAGCGUUACCCGGAAUCACUGGGCGUAAAGGGAGCGUAGGUGGCCUAACAUGUCAACUGUGAAAACCCGGAGCUCAACUCCGGACUUGCAGUUGAAACUGGUAGGCUUGAGGACGGUAGAGGAAGACGGAACUGCCAGUGUAGGGGUAAAAUCCUUAGAUAUUGGCAGGAACGCCGGUGACGAAGGUGGUUUUCUGGGCCGGUUCUGACACUGAUGCUCGAAAGCCAGGGGAGCGAAUGGGAUUAGAUACCCCGGUAGUCCUGGCCCUAAACGAUGUUCACUAGGUGUGGGGAGCGGAAAGCCCUCCGUGCUAAAGCUAACGCGAUAAGUGAACCGCCUGGGGAGUACGCCCGCAAGGGUGAAACUCAAAGGAAUUGACGGGGACCCGCACAAGCGGUGGAGCGUGUGGUUUAAUUCGAUGCUAAGCGAAGGACCUUACCAAGGUUUGACAUGCUAAUGGUAGUGAAUUGAAAGAGGAACGACCACACUAUGUGUGGAGUUAGCACAGGUGGUGCACGGCCGUCGUCAGCUCGUGUCGUGAGGUGUUGGGUUAAGUCCCGCAACGAGCGCAACCCCUGCUCUUAGUUACCAGCGGUAAGGCCGGGUACUCUAGGAGGACCGCCGCCGACGAGGCGGAGGAAGGGGGGGAUGAAGUCAGGUAUCGUGCCCCUUAUAUCUUGGGCGACACACGCGCUACAAUGGGUUGGACAGAAGGGACCAAGACAGCGAUGUGGAGGAAAUCCUCAAACCAACCCCCAGUUCAGAUUGCAGGCUGCAACCCGCCUGCAUGAAGCCGGAAUCGCUAGUAAUCGCAGAUCAGCCAAGCUGCGGUGAAUACGUUCCCGGGUCUUGUACACACCGCCCGUCAAGCCACCCGAGUUGGUAACACCUGAAGAUGAGUAUCCUAACCGAAAGGAGGGAGCUUGUUUAGGGUGGGAUUGGCAAGGGGGGCUAAGUCGUAACAAGGUAGCCCUACCGGAAGGUGCGGCUGGAUCACC